CCAGAUCCACAGCCACGCACUCCUCCCUCCUCCCUCUCACAGCCGCCACACCCCCUUCCUCUCUUCCUCCUCCCUCGUCCUUCUCGGAUCCCUGCCAUCCAGGCAGCAAGCCUGGUAAGCUAUCUCAAAAAACAACAACCAGCAAGAUAAUUGGUUAAUAGGGGGGAUCCCUGCCACCGCCACACCCACUCGUCUCCUCUCUCUUCUAGCUAACUCCUCCUUCCUGAUAUCUGUGUUUUCCGCAACCCGAGAGAAGCAACGGCGGCGGAGAUGCUCCGAUGGCGGCGGCGAGUUGCGAAGCGGCUGCGCUCGGGCGCGAGACAACAGAAGCGGGAGCGGCUACUCCGGGCCACGAUCUGCGGGUUCGAUUCCAGGGCGCCGACGACUCUGUCGUCUACGAUGUCGGGGGUGAGUCACCAGGGUCCAUGACGGUGGCCGGGUCGGGCCGGGGUAGGAGAACCACAUGAGGCCAUGAAGGGCACGACGGCUGCUAGCGAAAGUAGCAGAUUUGAAGGAGCGGCAGAUGUGGGCGGGGUCGGCGAUUGGGGAAGGCUCGCCGGCUGGGCGACAGCGAGCUCCGAUGAGUGCAACGAAUGGAAGCCAGGCGUCGGCUUACAACAAUGAUUCGGGUGCUUGUGGCAUGACGGAGAGCCGCCGCUGAAAGCUCAGUGAUGGGGCGAGUUGGUUGAGGCGUCAAUGGCACCUUUGCUCGUGACCGAGGAUGGCACUUGCGCAGCUGAAGUAAGAUGCAGGCCAACUUCAGCCUCCAAGGCUUCCCUGGCACCCUUCUCUGCCACUACGUGCUCAACAACAAGGUCUUCGAAGGAUUAGGGCUUAGGGCAACUCAAUGGUAGCCAGUCGGAGUUUGCUAGGUUACAUAUGCAAGUCCUUUUGAAAUCUCAAACUUCUUUGUGGUGAUGAGCUUCUGCUCAUCUUGAUUGAUUCCUCUACAGUGAAGGGCCCUAACAGAUAGACCGAGGUCUCUACUGGCUCGGAAGACUGGACUUGAGGCACAUGUAAAAUUAAUGUCUCUUGCUACUCUCGUGAUCUAUAUCCAGAGUGCAAGUCGGGUCUUGGAAUGCCGAGAAAAUAAGUGAAGUGUGCAGACAGGCAGCAUGGAAACACUAAAGAGAGGCUUCAGACAAACUAAUAGCUGGAGUGAUUUCCUACAUGUAGUGACCGACUUGGAAGAAAUAAGUUUCAGCUAUUUCUAAAGAUAUUAUAUCAUAAGACUAUUCUUAGGUUAAGGUGUUUGGCUUGGACUAAUGUGUACAUGGCUGUAGUGGUUCCAGAUUUGUUACAAGCUCCUUGUGCUGAGGAUCGUCAAAAUGGUGAAGUUUCUAUUAUUUUCGGAACUAUUGAUUCACAUGCUGAAGUGUAAUUUACCACAUCCCUA